rnacentral:rRNA from 1 species
UACACUCCUGCGGGAGGCAGCAGUGGGGAAUUUUGGACAAUGGGCGAAAGCCUGAUCCAGCAAUGCCGCGUGAGUGAAGAAGGCCUUCGGGUUGUAAAGCUCUUUUGUCAGGGAAGAAACGGUGAAAGCUAAUAUCUUUUGCUAAUGACGGUACCUGAAGAAUAAGCACCGGCUAACUACGUGCCAGCAGCCGCGGUAAUACGUAGGGUGCAAGCGUUAAUCGGAAUUACUGGGCGUAAAGCGUGCGCAGGCGGUUUUGUAAGUCUGAUGUGAAAUCCCCGGGCUCAACCUGGGAAUUGCAUUGGAGACUGCAAGGCUAGAAUCUGGCAGAGGGGGGUAGAAUUCCACGUGUAGCAGUGAAAUGCGUAGAUAUGUGGAGGAACACCGAUGGCGAAGGCAGCCCCCUGGGUCAAGAUUGACGCUCAUGCACGAAAGCGUGGGGAGCAAACAGGAUUAGAUACCCCAGUAGUCCCAUGAU